rnacentral:lncRNA from 1 species
CUUGUGCAUGCCUCUGCCCCCCCGGGCCGCGGAACUCUCCUGGGGCGACCCCGAGUCCCACCCCGCUGCUCCGUGCCGUCCUCGCAGCUCGAGCCCUCCUCCAGCCCAGCAGUGCUCCCGCAGCGUCUGGCCGCUGGUCGUCGGCAGACGAAAGGGCUUGAACCGCGGCUGACCUUAGCCUUUGUCCCUCGGCCUAGUUCCGCAGCUGCCGUCGAGGCCGCCAGCCCCUCCCCCAGCAUGUUUGGGCUAAGCCGCCUCCUUUCCGCCUGCGUUGGAGAGAGAGGUACCAGAAGGAAUGAAAGGACUGGGGCUUGUCUCCAUGGCAACUGAAAGAAAGAGGUGGGUUAUAAAUCCUUCGCCACCCUCCUGUGGCGAAGGAGGGGAAGUGGGAGCCGGGAAGUAGAGUUGGCCUUUUGCAGGAGAGUCUGGAGCCCCUUUCUGGGUGAUGCAUUGGGGGCCAUAGAAGGAUUUGGCUGCCGCUUUGGAGCAUGGA